rnacentral:lncRNA from 1 species
UAGAAGUAGAGGUGCGGUAUACACGCAUAGGGAAAUAAAUGACAUGAGGGGGGAGAGAAAGAGAAAGGGUAGAUAUAUUUGCAACGCGGUAUGGGACGGGUGCGAUCAUACCUUAUAACUUGUAGAGGUUAAAUUAAGUUUUAUUAUCUUGGAGUCAAUUGAUCAUAGACAUGACUGGCCAGAAUCUCAAGGACUUCUUCCUUACUUUGAGUUUCUACCUUCAAGUGCAAGGUGGCAAUAAGGGAGAUGAAGUACUCAUAAGGUAACAAGGCUGGUUUAGUCUUAAUAUGUCCUUCAUUUUUUCAAAGUUAAUGUGGGUUAGGUUCAUAGGUUUUCCAAUCACUAAGUGCCACAUUAUCAAUGCUUUCAUAAUGGAUACUCAUGUGAUAACACUAGAAUAGGGGAAAAUGUUUUUCCUAAUUAUGUGAUGCAAGAUUGAAGAUGUUAAAGAAAGUCUUCAACUGUAGGCUUCCUAGUUUUAGAAAAAUCUAGGUUUCUAAUCAAAAGCGUGAAGACGUCUAAGUACAAAAAUUUUAAAAUAUUUGUUGGUCACGUGCCUUAUCUUCAUAAAAAGUGGCUCCCUCGCAUAGAGUUAGCAUCUACCGAGCCAAUUUUUUAAUGCUUACCUCUAGAGAUACAUU